CCUACGGGUGGCUGCAGUGGGGAAUAUUGCACAAUGGGCGCAAGCCUGAUGCAGCCAUGCCGCGUGUGUGAAGAAGGCCUUCGGGUUGUAAAGCACUUUCAGCGGGGAGGAAGGCGUUAAGGUUAAUAACCUUGGCGAUUGACGUUACCCGCAGAAGAAGCACCGGCUAACUCCGUGCCAGCAGCCGCGGUAAUACGGAGGGUGCAAGCGUUAAUCGGAAUUACUGGGCGUAAAGCGCACGCAGGCGGUCUGUCAAGUCGGAUGUGGAAUCCCCGGGCUCAACCUGGGAACUGCAUUCGAAACUGGCAGGCUAGAGUCUUGUAGAGGGGGGUAGAAUUCCAGGUGUAGCGGUGAAAUGCGUAGAGAUCUGGAGGAAUACCGGUGGCGAAGGCGGCCCCCUGGACAAAGACUGACGCUCAGGUGCGAAAGCGUGGGGAGCAAACAGGAUUAGAUACCCGUGUAGUC
rnacentral:rRNA from 1 species